UAUGAAGAACGUAGCGAAAUGCGAUACGUAGUGUGAAUUGCAGAAUUCAGUGAAUCAUCGAAUCUUUGAACGCACAUUGCACCUCUCGGUAUUCCGGGAGGUAUGCCUGUUCGAGCGUCAUUUGUACCCUCAAGCUCUGCUUGGUGUUGGGUGUUUGUUCCGCCUCUGUGUGUGAACUCGCCUCAAAACAAUUGGCAGCCGGCGUACUUGUUUCGGAGCGCAGCACAUUUUGCGAUCCAGAUCAACGUACAGCGGCAUCCAAGAAGCCUUAUUUAACGCUCUUGACCUCGGAUCAGGUAGGGAUACCCGCUGAACUUAAGCAUAUCAAUAAGGAGGA
rnacentral:misc_RNA from 1 species